UGCAUAGUGUCUUGAGAUAUUUUCAUCUCUCUCUUCUCCAAUCUACCUUUCCCGCAUUAGAAAAAAACCGAUUAUUUUAUGGAGUAUACUUUCAUGAUAUAUUCUUCCCAUUUCCCAUGGUGUUGUGUCUUCUCAACGCUGUCUUCCUCAUUUUGGCGCGCCUUAAUCUAACGCUGAUAAUUCGUUCUCCAAUUUUUUUCAAUGGAAUUCAAGAGUGCAAAAGGUAAAAUUUGAAAUUAUAGUUCCGAAUAUCAAAUGCUACUGUUCUAGGUUCCCAGUAUUACGGUUGGAGUUUUCUCAGCUCCUUGAUGAAUGAUAUAGGUGUACUACUGUACUUUAAGUAUAUUGCUCGGACUCAGGUACUCACUACUCGUGUCGGACAUGAAUACAUGUCCGUUUCGACUAUUUAUAAAAAAACUAGUUUUUAGGCUCGGGCUAUGCCUUAGGUGCUUAUUGUUUUCAUAAUUAAUAUUUUACUUUAAAAUGAUAUCAUCAAAUAUCAUUUGGUUUAAUGGUGGCGUUCCUUGGUUAAGACUUAAGAACACCUUAAUAGAUAUUAUAAAUCUGGCCUAAAACAAAAGUAUCGAGGAUUUCACUCGGACAUGUAAGGUGAAAUAGAGAGUCCGAGUAACAUAGCUGGUUAGAUACUUAGAUCAUUAGAUGCAUAAAUCCUGAGUGCUUGAUUUCAUUCUUUGAUUGUUCCUGAUUUUUAAUUUUUUGGUGGGUUUGUUCUCUAAGAUUUUUGAUAAAAAAUUUACUACUUGCUUGUUUGGUGUGCUAUGCAAGUGGAAUUUGUUAGUUGUUUCCCUUGAGAUACGGUGCUGCCUGACCAUAGACUGUAUUCUUCACCAUGUUAUCAAUUUUUUCAUUAUUUAUUGGCCUUGGAAACAAUGAACAUUUGCUUUGUCUUGCAAGUGGGCUAUGCUUUUUAUUUAAGAUUAGUAUAUCCUGACAAUUGUAGUCUUGGAAAUAUAGAUAAAUUCUUAUGCGCGUGUGAAGAAUCGUCUUUUGUAGAUUGUGUAUCAAUUCAGACCCGUCCCUGACAUUUUGGAGGCCUUGUGGCAAAGUCAGAAAUAAAGUCCCCAAUGUAGGAGUAAUAUAAAAAAAGCAGUGUAUAAAAUUCAAGUUUAUGCAACAGUAAAUGUGUUAUUUUUUUAUAAAUAGUAAAUAUUACUUAUAAACAUUACUUUGUAUUUACUAUUUAACAAUUAUUUGAUUAAAAAAUUAAAAACAUUGACCUUUUAAAUUAUACAAAUAUAUUAUUACUUACCCCAAAUGCUCAUUUCUAAACGCGAAAUGACUUCUAACAUUUUAUAUCAAUACACUCUUAACAAAUUUUGCUAUAUACUCCUAAUAAGAUGGCUAGACCAUCUAAUUACAACUAAAAAAUUAGCAUUAUGGAAUUAUCAGAAGACAUAUUUAAAUACAAAUAUUUCACAACUGACCCAAGGAUCAGGCAGCAACAUUGAAAUAUACAAAAAAUAAUUCAGAAAGACAAUUGAAGCCUGAAGGAACAAACAAAUUUCACCCUACAAAAAAUCUUCCGGAAAAAAAAAAGAAAAGCAAACAUACUCGAUACCAUAAUUGUAGUUUCAAGGAACACAAAGAGAAUAAAAAUACUAUUGAAGGAGAAAAACAAAGAAACCAGAUUUUUAGAUCCAGUUCAUCAAUAAGAUUGAGUAAAUAAAAAAAGACUUGAAGGAGUAAGAAUAUUAGAAGGCUAAUAUGAGGCCAUUGUAAAUUGGAGGAGGAAUUGAAUUUACAUGGGAACUUUCCAAAAUUUAAUAUGGUAAAGCCGUAAAGGUGAGCUGCAUUGCUGUUAGUGAGACUGGAGAAGAUAAAUAAUUUUUGAUAGCCGUGCUUAUACUUUCCUUUCUAAUCAUUAAAUUUUCAUUUUUUUAAAAAAAAAGCUUAACAGAAUUUUAUAGUACGUUGGGCUUCUCUCCCUUAAGCCCUGGGCGCCCCUCCUGCUGAGCCCCAGGGACGGGCCUUUGUAUCAUCCAUCAAAAUGCCAAUACUACAUACUCCAUUUCCCAACAAGUAAAGACCAGGUUAUGUCAUAGGGUGAAAAAUUGGAUGAACACAUGCACCCUCCAUCCAGCUUUGUUGGUAGCCUUUAUAUAUGAUACGUUUACAAGAUUCAUUAAGUACAUGUUUCCUUUUCUUCAGUUUUAUUCUCGGUAUCUUCAGUUAUUCAAUUAGUCAAUGCUGGCAUGUAUACAAGAAAAAUUUAUAUAAAAUUUUAUAAAGCAAACCUGCAGAUAUUUGGGGACAUAUUAUAAUGGAAUCUAGGAACACCAAUUAGGAUGGAAAGAUUACCAUUAUAGAGAAUAACCUUGCAUUAAACUUGAGAGGUGGAUAUGAGAUUUUUUAUGGUAACUUGGCAAUUUUCUUCUAGUAAGGGUGGCAUUGAUUGAUUGUAUAUGAAUGUUGUGAGCUAUUGCAGUUUAUGAUUUAAACGUAUUUGGUAAAGAAGCAAUACUUGUUGAAAUUGUGGAAGACACGUGUUUUGGGUAAGGAAUGAGAAACUCUGUUACAUUAUUUUAUAUGUGCACAUUCAUGAUUCAUGAUAUGUUGAACUAUAUAUUGUUGAGUGGCAAAACCACUUUUUUGUAUUAAGUUUGAUGAGGUCAUUGAGCUUAUACUUCGUGCUAGUUGCAUAAAUGGUAAGAGGACGUAAUGGUUAUUAGCUUUCUUGUCAUUUCGAUUUUCAAUUUGUGAACUAUACAUCUCAAUUUGUCCAAACCCACUUUGGUGACUUGGCUUGUAAACUAAUAAGUUUUGUAUUGAAUUUUUACACAGGAAACUAAACUUAUAAGGCUUUUGUUUCUACAUAUUCUUGGCUUAAUAUUGGUACCGAAUCUGGAUGCAUAUGCAGGUGUUUAUAUGAGUGUUUAUUUGUCCAUAGAACGCGUGAGAUGCUAGAGUAAGUAUUCUUGCGUACUCAGGUCCCCAAACAUCUAUCUCAGGUUCAGGUAGAUGUUAGUGCUUUUGCCAAAUUAAAGGUUGUCAUGUGGGUUGUGUUGUAAAGGGUAUCUGGAGACAGAUCUGAAGGCCUUGUAUGAGCUUGUUGCUUUUUUUUCUUUGUUCUCCAUGUUUUUUCCUUACUGAUAUUCCAAACUACUGAAUCGCAUUUCUUCCAUUUUUGUGGUUAGAAAACUUUUUUUUUGUAUUUACCCCUAAUCUAAUAUUUAACCUUUAUAUUUCUUCUUGAUAACCUUCAUGUUCCAUCUAGUGGCAUCUACACAGGCUUGCUGCUAUGCCCCAUUUUUGUCCUGUAUAGUCCACAUUACUGUAAUUUGUCUCUUUAUGAGGUUUAAGCUGUGCCUCACAUGUGGUCAGAGCGCUGCGGGUCUUUUGCUUUCUGAUUGUGCUCUGCUCUUAAAAGAAGUCUGGACCAUGGCUCCCCAUUAUUCCAUUUUCUUUUGAUUUUCCAAAUCCUGCAGAUCUUUGAUGCUCAAACCUGAAAGAUCUUGCCCCAUAAGUUUCCUGCAACCAAACAUGAUGCUGAGAUACAGCAGCAGGAGUUUUGCAAGUUUGUAGAAGGUAUCUGCAUGUCCAUACUCAAAAUUUACUGCAAAACUAGGCAAGUGCUUAAAAGCUUCAAUAUGCAACUCUAUUGGUGAUUCAUCUUUAUAUUCAACUCAAGAUUUUCUCGGUGAGGUUGUGGAUAAGAUCCUGAAGAUUCUUGAACCCAUUUGGGUUAGGUUGUGGAUAAAAUAAGGACAAAUUGGAGGAACCCAAGUAAUAAACUGAACUCGUGAAACUAGUUGGGAGUUUUCCAUAUAUAAAGUACGUGAGACCAUUUGCUGCUUGAUCCAAGAUAAUUUUCCUAGCCAUUAUGCUGAAAGACGCAGGAAUAUGAUGCUGGAAUAUUGUCAGAAUCCUGGGGAACCACCAUAAAUAAGUCACAGGCCCUUGAUUGGCUUCUGGGUUGCAGUUUCUUCUGCAAAUGAAACACAAGACAAUUAGCUACUUUACUUGGCAUCAGGAGCUCAAGUGUUUCUACUAUAGCUACUUCAGACGAGUGUUACAGCUCAGGCUUCCAAUUGAUGGCUAUGAGACUUGAAGGUAGUAUAUUGAGGUGGUAUACAAGUAAUGCAAUCUUGUGGGGCGCCCUUGAUGUACUCCAUUGAGCAUUUCACUCUAUGCUGGUGAGAGAAGUUGAUCGACCGAUGCAGUAGAUUGACUUAGGGAUGUUUGAAGCUCAGGUUUACAGGAUAUAUAUACAUGUAGGACAUAUUUUUUUUCUUUUUUUGGGGUAUAAUCUGUUCCUUGCAGGAUUCUUCGAGCAUUUUUUUACAAAGCGUCGAGUAUUAGAGAUAAGCUUGAUUUCUCUAUUAGGAAAUGUAAUGAGAGCGGAAUAGCUGGAAAGAAUUCUCUCUCAAUUCCUUUUCUCUCAUUUCCUUCCCACUCCUGCUUCAGAAAAGAAGUAAAAUUCUUGUACGGGAAGAUUGAAAGGAUUUAGUUUUUAUAGGUAAAAUAUGGUAUCUUUCAUCAACUCCCCUUCUUAAUUUCCAAAUAGGAUUGCUAUCAAAGGAAAUUUGCUCGCUUGGGGGACUCGACAAAGUGUCAGCAUGUAGUAAUUAGUACAUCAUCUCAGCUUACCAGCCCAAGCUCAAAUAAAGGUUCAAGCCCAAGUGAAGCAAAUGAUAAGCCCAAGUAAAGAUGCAGAUUCCAGCUCAGCAUUUAGUUAGUUACAAGUUGUUGGAUGUAAUAACUUUCUGUUAGCAAUUCAGUUAGCUUUCUUUCUUUGUAAUAAAGAUAGCUACAUCUAGUAUAAAUAUAGAUUGUACAAUGAGAUUCAUUCAUUCAAUUACACAGUCAAUAAAAUCUCAUUUCUAUUCUCUCUCUA